UCGCCCUGCAAAUGGUUUGGGUGGUAACAGUUUUAAUGAGUUGGAUUUCGCUUUGGGCCUAUUUAGGCUGGGUGCUACACGGGCCGGCGCUAAAAUAAAGUGAUUCGGUUUGGGCUCUAGCUUCCAGCAGUUUGGUGUGAAUUUGGUGUGGGUAGUGACCAUUUGAUUUACUAUGGGCUGUAACCGUGGGCUGUAACCGUGGGCUCCCCGCAUGGGCUCACGACCAGCACUCCAGCAGGCAGCAGCAAGUCGCGAGUCGCGACCACCACUCCAGCAGUGAAUCGUGAACCCUCGCGGCAGCGGCGGCGGCCGGGGCAGGCGGAUCCGACGGCGGUGUGGCCGAGGCAGGUGGAUCCGGCGGCGGCGCCUCUUCCACGCACAGGAUCGCCAAUGCUGGGGCCAUCGGCCUCCUCCCGUCCUCCGGCUGUUGGUCAUUUACCUGACUCGGAGACGACGACCAAGAUUUCCUAUUCCGGGGGAGCACCGCAGCGAACCAGUUGGCAGCCUUGAGGAGUCCACGAAAGCUAAAGAAGCUGGUGUAGAUGGAAUCAUCGAGGGCCGUGAAGCAGGAGAUCAUGUAAUUGGUCAGGUUGACAUGCAGCUUUAAAAUUUCCCUUCCAGUUCCCUAUAAGCCGCCAGCACUUCGAGUUAUCUUUCCUUUCCUCCAGUGCAUGAUAUCAUAUACUAUUGUCUAGUGUAUAGGAUAUCCAAUAAACAAUAGAUGCAAUAGAUCACACUGAUUACAUAGUUUGAACCUACUGCUCUGGUUUGAACCUUCUUUCUUAUAUGUUGUUGUUACUCAGGUAGCUUGUUGUUUAGCUUGUUUUCUCAACAUGUCUGCAAACACAUCUGAAAGCUCUGAUGAUUCUCAUUCAACCCAAACACGUGUUAGAAGAUCCAAGGUUUGGGAAUAUUUUCAGCAGAAUUUAGUUGAAGCUGAUGAUGGUUUUAAAGCUGUGUGCAGGUAUUGUCAAAUCUGUUUAAGCACUAAGUCAGGAACUAGCAGCCUUAGGACCCAUAUUUCUCAUCAUUGUCAUGCAAUUGGGGAAGCUGAUAGGAAAAGAUUUGUAGCAACCUUGAAAAAACCUAUAGAGAACUUUGUAUUUGACCCUCAGUUUUGCCGCCAGCGUAUGAUUUAGUUUGUCAUACAUGCUGAGAUCCCAUUUAACAAGUUUGAAGAUCCAUACUUCGAGCCAUGGGUUCAGUCUAUGCAGCCAACUCUCGAUGGUGUGAGCCGGCAAAAUGUUCGUAAUGAUUGUCUAAAAAAAUAUCAAAGAAUGAAGCAAGAUCUUCAAAAUGAACUUCAAACCCUAGACUGUCACGUGUGCCUAACGUCAGAUAUGUGGACAUCAAUUCAGAACUUAGGCUAUCUAGUUAUAACAGCUCAUUAUAUCACUCCUGACUUCAAGAUAAAUAAGAAGAUAAUAAGUUUCAAGGAGGUCAAGUAUCCACACACGGGGUUUGCCAUUGAAGAAACACUUGUGAGUUGCCUAACUGAAUGGGGCAUACGAAACAAGUUGUUUACUCUAACUGUGGAUAAUGCUAGUAAUAACACUAGCGCAUGUGAGGAGUUGGUAUAUACUCACAAGCAUGAGUUGAUGCUUGAGGGUGCACAUUUGCAUGUAAGAUGUUGUGCACAUAUCCUGAAUAUUUUGGUUCAGGAUGGGAUGAAAAUUAUUCAUGAGGGGAUAAAGAAGAUUCGGGAGCUUUUGAAGCACAUUGACUCUUCACCCUCACGAAUUCAAGCUUUCAAUCAAAUUGCAAUGGUGAAUGGUCUUCCUACAAAACGUGCUAUGCAAAUCAAAAUGCUGAAAUUGCCCCGAAUGAACAAGAAUGGACAAAAGCUCAGUCAAUUUGUGAGUUUCUUGAAACCU